GACGUAGGGCGCAAGCGUUGUCCGGAUUUAUUGGGCGUAAAGAGCUCGUAGGCGGCUCGUUGCGUCGGCUGUGAAAACCCGCAGCUCAACUGUGGGCUUGCAGCCGAUACGGGCGGGCUGGAGUUCGGUAGGGGAGACUGGAAUUCCUGGUGUAGCGGUGAAAUGCGCAGAUAUCAGGAAGAACACCGAUGGCGAAGGCAGCUCUCUGGGACGGUACUGACGCUGAGACGCGAAAGCGUGGGGAGCGAACAGG
rnacentral:rRNA from 1 species